rnacentral:rRNA from 1 species
UACGUAGGGGGCAAGCGUUGUCCGGAUUUAUUGGGCGUAAAGAGCGUGUAGGCGGCUUUGCAAGUCCGUUGUGAAAACUCGAGGCUCAACCUCGAGACGCCGGUGGAAACUGCAAAGCUAGAGUCCGGAAGAGGAGAGUGGAAUUCCUGGUGUAGCGGUGAAAUGCGCAGAUAUCGUAAGGAAGACCAGUGGCGAAGGCGGGUCUCUGGACAGUUCCUGACGCUGAGGCACGAAGGUCAGGGGAGCAAACGGGG